UGCCUACGGGACGCAGCAGUCGGGAAUAUUGCGCAAUGGAGGAAACUCUGACGCAGUGACGCCGCGUGCAGGAAGAAGGUUUUCGGAUUGUAAACUGCUUUAGACAGGGAAGAAACAAGACAGUACCUGUAAAAUAAGCUCCGGCUAACUACGUGCCAGCAGCCGCGGUAAUACGUAGGGAGCAAGCGUUAUCCGGAAUUAUUGGGUGUAAAGGGUGCGUAGACGGGAUGUCAAGUUAGUUGUGAAAUACCUCGGCUCAACUGAGGAACUGCAACUAAAACUAACAUUCUUGAGUGCAGGAGAGG
rnacentral:rRNA from 1 species